AUGAAACACAAUUCCAAAGUUCGCUCCAUGGCUACUAGAACUAGUAGAGUUGUUACCACUACACUACUAGUGCUCCUAGGUGCAACCAUAUGCUCCGCCGCUAGAACCCUUCUCUCUCUAGAGGCCGGAGCCUACGGCGUUGGCCACGGCAUCGGCAUCGGUGGCGGGGGCGGCUACGGCGGCGGAGGUGCCGCUGCUGGAGGUUCUGGUGGUGGAGGUGGCGGCGGUGGCGGGAGUGGCGGCGGNGG
rnacentral:lncRNA from 1 species